rnacentral:rRNA from 1 species
GACGUAGGAUGCAAGCGUUGUCCGGAUUUAUUGGGCGUAAAGAGUUCGUAGGUGGUUUGUUAAGUCUGAUGUUAAAGACUGGGGCUCAACCUCGGAAGUGCAUUGGAUACUGGCAGACUCGAGUGUGGUAGAGGCAAGUGGAAUUCCAGGUGUAGCGGUGAAAUGCGUAGAUAUCUGGAAGAACACCGGUGGCGCAAGCGACUUGCUGGGCCAUAACUGACACUGAGGAACGAAAGCUAGGGUAGCGAAUGGGAUUAGAAACCCCCGUAGUCC